rnacentral:rRNA from 1 species
AUGAACGCUGGCGGCGUGCCUAAUACAUGCCAGUCGCGCGAACAGACGAGGAGCUUGCUCCUCUGACGUUAGCGGCGGACGGGUGAGUAACACGUGGAUAACCUACCUAUAAGACUGGGAUAACUUCGGGAAACCGGAGCUAAUACCGGAUAAUAUAUUGAACCGCAUGGUUCAAUAGUGAAAGACGGUUUUGCUGUCACUUAUAGAUGGAUCCGCGCCGCAUUAGCUAGUUGGUAAGGUAACGGCUUACCAAGGCAACGAUGCGUAGCCGACCUGAGAGGGUGAUCGGCCACACUGGAACUGAGACACGGUCCAGACUCCUACGGGAGGCAGCAGUAGGGAAUCUUCCGCAAAGGGCGAAAGCCUGACGGAGCAACGCCGCGUGAGUGGUGAAGGUCUUCGGAUCGUAAAACUCUGUUAUUAGGGAAGAACAAAUGUGUAAGUAACUAUGCACGUCUUGACGGUACCUAAUCAGAAAGCCACGGCUAACUACGUG